GACGAACGCUGGCGGCGUGCCUAAUACAUGCAAGUAGAACGCUGAAGGAGGAGCUUGCUUCUCUGGAUGAGUUGCGAACGGGUGAGUAACGCGUAGGUAACCUGCCUGGUAGCGGGGGAUAACUAUUGGAAACGAUAGCUAAUACCGCAUAAGAGUAGAUGUUGCAUGACAUUUGCUUAAAAGGUGCAAUUGCAUCACUACCAGAUGGACCUGCGUUGUAUUAGCUAGUUGGUGGGGUAACGGCUCACCAAGGCGACGAUACAUAGCCGACCUGAGAGGGUGAUCGGCCACACUGGGACUGAGACACGGCCCAGACUCCUACGGGAGGCAGCAGUAGGGAAUCUUCGGCAAUGGACGGAAGUCUGACCGAGCAACGCCGCGUGAGUGAAGAAGGUUUUCGGAUCGUAAAGCUCUGUUGUAAGAGAAGAACGAGUGUGAGAGUGGAAAGUUCACACUGUGACGGUAUCUUACCAGAAAGGGACGGCUAACUACGCG
rnacentral:rRNA from 1 species